rnacentral:rRNA from 1 species
UACGUAGGGAGCAAGCGUUGUCCGGAAUCAUUGGGCGUAAAGAGCGUGUAGGCGGCCCGGUAAGUCGGUUGUGAAAGUCAAGGGCUCAACCCUUGAAUGCCGACCGAUACUGUCGGGCUAGAGUCCGGAAGAGGCGAGUGGAAUUCCUGGUGUAGCGGUGAAAUGCGCAGAUAUCAGGAAGAACACCCGUGGCGAAGGCGGUUCUCUGGAACGCAACUGACGCUGAGACGCGAAAGCGUGGGGAGCAAACGGG